AUUGAACGCUGGCGGCAGGCCUAACACAUGCAAGUCGAGCGACCGGCGGAUGGGUGAUUAAUGUAUGGGGACUGCCCGCGAGAGGGGGAUAACUACUGGAAACGGUAGCUAAUACCGCCUACAAUCGGAUUACCCAUAUUGGAUUAGCUAGUAGGUGCAGUAAUGGCACACCUAGGCGACGAUCCCUAGCUGGUCUGAUAGGAUGAUCAGCCAAACUGGGACUGAGACACGGCCCAGACUCCUACGGAGGCAGCAGUGGGGAAUAUUGCACAAUGGGCGCAAGCCUGAUGCAGCCCUGCCGCGUGUGUGAAGAAGGCCCUCGGGUUGUAAAGUACUUUCAGUCGGGAGGCGUUACCGACAGAAGAAGCACCGGCUAACUCCGUGUCAGCAGCCGCGGUAAUAC
rnacentral:rRNA from 1 species